UACGUAGGGUGCAAGCGUUGUCCGGAAUUAUUGGGCGUAAAGAGCUUGUAGGUGGUUUGUCGCGUCUGCUGUGAAAAUCCGAGGCUCAACCUCGGACUUGCAGUGGGUACGGGCAGACUAGAGUGUGGUAGGGGAGACUGGAAUUCCUGGUGUGAGCGGUGGAAUGCGCAGAUAUCAGGAGGAACACCGAUGGCGAAGGCAGG
rnacentral:rRNA from 1 species